rnacentral:rRNA from 1 species
ACGGGAGGCAGCAGCUAAGAAUAUUCCGCAAUGGGGGAAACCCUGACGGAGCGACGCCGCGUGGACGAGGAAGGCCGGAAGGUUGUAAAGUCCUUUUCCCGCCGAGGAAGAAACCCCGGAGGCAAUGCCGGGGCGGUGACUGUAGGCGGGGAAUAAGCACCGGCUAAUUACGUGCCAGCAGCCGCGGUAACACGUAAGGUGCGAGCGUUGUUCGGAAUCAUUGGGCGUAAAGGGCAUGUAGGCGGCCGCGCAAGUCUGGAGUGAAAUCCCCGGGCUCAACCCGGGAACUGCUUUGGAAACUGCGUGGCUAGAGUCGCCGAGGCGGAGCCGGAAUUCCAGGUGUAGGGGUGAAAUCUGUAGAUAUCUGGAAGAAUACCAAUGGCGAAGGCAGGUUACCAGCAGAUGACUGACGCUGAGGUGCGAAGGUGCGGGGAGCAAACAGGAUUAGAUACCCUGGUA